GUCCAAAGAACAAUGAUGUACUCUUUUCCAAGCACAUAUCUGACCAAUCCAUGUGGAAAAUGUUUUCUGAGUUUUUUGGAC
rnacentral:snoRNA from 1 species